UCUCUACUCUUUCCAGAGAUUGCAGUGGCCAGUGCCUGGACACCCCCGAAAGUCCCAGGCCUGGUCCAGCUGUCCCAGGGAAUUGGGAGGCGGGGUGGUGGUGGGAGGGGGAGCUGUUGACGCCACCUCCCAAAGUGGUGUCUCUCUCAUUGACCAGCCGUAUUGGGUGGGGGAGGUUUUUAAAAUCUGUGUUCUAAACAUCCAGGUAAUCACUGAAACAGCCCGAUGGCUGUGCAGGGCAAUCCUUUCAUCCUGCCCUCAGGUUGAGGCUGGGAAAGAAGUGGCAGGACUCAGCGUGAUUUCGUGCUCUAGUUUUCUUGAACCUGGGAACUGUUGCAGCCUCAGCAGGGACCUUGCCGUCAACGUUGGCAGUGCCCAGCCUUUGCGUGGUCGAGGUCUGAGGGCCAGAUACCCUCCUCGCGCCCGCCCUGCCUUCCCUCCAGGCUCCAGGUCCAGGAGCCUGCCCGGAGGGUCCACCAUGCCUGGGUCCAUGCAGAGUGUGGCAGCAGGGAGAUUGGGGCCGGGUGUUCAUUCCCUGCCUCCUGCGGCUUGGCUGCACCCCAAAAAGCCCAUCACGGGCACCUUCAGACUUUACUGUUAUUGGCUCAAUAAUGGCCCCCAAAGAUGCCCACAUCCUAAUCCCAGAUCCUGGGAAUAUGUUCCCUGGUGAUAUUUACAUGCAGACGUGACUGAGCAGGUGAGUAAGUGAAGGCUCUUGAGAUGGGAGUGGCCCGGGGUUGUCCCGGUGGCUCAGUGUCAUCCCAGGGUCCUUGAAGAGGGAGGCGGGGGGCUCACAGGAGGAGGAGGUGUGAGAAGGAACACAGAGUCAGAGAGAAAUGGAAAGAGGCUGCGCUGCUGGCCUGGAAGGUGGAGGAAGGGCCAUGAGCCGAGGAGUGCAACGGCCUCAGAGGCCACAAAGGUAAGAAAAGGACCCUCCCCUGGAGGUCCCAGGAGGAACCGGCCCUCACACACCCUGAUUUUAGCCCAGCGAGGUGUGUGCCAGACUUCUGACCUCCAGAGCUGACAGAGCUGUGAGCCUGUGGUCAUCUCGUCGCAGCCCCGUGGCACUGACACACCUGUCCUCUGUGGAUUCCAAGAAAGGACACCACCCCAGUCCCACCCCAGCCUUCAGGCUUAGGGCGAUGGGGCUUCUCUUUCACAGGGUCCUCGGUCCCUUCACACAGGUUCCCUGAGCCCCGCCCAAACCUUUUCAGCACUGUGAAGCCCUCCUCCAGGUGCUGUCUCCCUCCUGCUGGGCUCUGACCGAUGUGGUCCUGUUCCUCCCGUUUGGGCAACAGUGUUGCCUUCCCCUGCUAUCCUGGAAGUCCCCCAGGCAAUGCCAUCCAUGGGUUCUGAUGAGCAUGAACCAACUGGCAUGACCACCAGGAGCCACCGUCUCUCCAGCCCGGGAAGGGCUUGCGUGUGUUGGGGGAGGGGAGGGCACGUGCGGCUGGUCUGAGGUUUUCUCCCGUGUGACAUGUCAGAUUCCCAGGACUUUUAGAGUUCCAGCCGUGUGUCCUGGGUCCCUUCGCCAGAGCCUACACCAAAGGCUCUGGCCCAUGGCACCUGGCACUCACCGUCCCCAGCAUGCUGACAGCUCCCGCUGUGAGAGCCCGGGCCUCUGCCAGGCAGCUUGCUCCCUGUCCACAGGAGAGGCCACGGGGCCAGGGAGGGAGGCCAUGGGAGCAGCCGCUUCAGCAGCGGGUGGGGACUGCGGGACAGAUGCCCACUCCUUGGUACGUUCCAUGUUCCACUCCUCUAGGGGGGGUCCCCGGAGGCUCAGAGCCCAGUUACCCACAGCGACACCUGCUCAUCAGCCCUCAUAAGCUCCUUUCCCGCCCGACUUGCCCACUCCUUGGUGCGUUCCACUCUCUGGCGGGAGAGGGGGCGUCCCCGGAGGCUCAGAGCCCAGUUACCCACAGCGACACCUGCUCAUCAGCCCUCAUAAGCUCCUUUCCCACCCGACUUGCCCACUCCUUGGUGCGUUCCACGUUCCGCUCCUCUAGGGGAGUCCCCAGAGGCUCAGAGCCCAGUUACCCACAGUGACCCCUGCUCAUCAGCCCUUAUCAGCUCCUUUCCUGCCUGACUUGCCCACUCCCCAGGGCUGCCUGGGGUCACCCCCAAAUCUUGCUCCCAAGGCCUGCCUCUGGGGGCCCAGGCCCAGAGGCCAGAGGCCGCCUCAGCAAUCCUGAAGCAGACAGCAGACGGCAGCCUCGGAUCAGCCCUUUCUGGCUGUUUCCAGGCUCCAGCUGAAGGUGGAAGGGUGGUUCUGCUGUGUUCUCUCUUCCUUGGAAUUUCUGGGAAAACCACGAGCGGGACUAGAACCCAAAAUCUUCAUUCCAUCGUCAAUGAAAGCCAAAGACACCUGGACCUUGGAAACAGUCUGAGCCUUCCUGAUGGAGAGCAGAUGAGGACCGGAGGGAAAGGGACACUGGACUUUGGAAACAGUCUGAGCCUUCCCGAUGGAGAGUGGAUGAGGACCGGACAGAAAGGGCCCUGAGAAAGUAGGCUGCUGCCCUGGAUCCCAGACCCAACCAGAGUGGCACAGAGUCCUCCAGAACAGAGCGCGCCCCCGGGAGAGCCACUGGCCCCGUGCCCCUGGGAGAGCCACCGGCCCUGCUGCACCUGCUGGGGGGUCCCUGCUGUUCACCCUCCCUGGGCUCCUGGACCACAGCGGGGCAGAGUGGAGGAGGAGGUGUGCACAGAGGCACCAUUGUUGUGGGAAGCAGUUUGUUGGUGAGGAGGGAGCUGCGGUCCUGCAUGACAUCCACACGCGUGACAUCCACACGCGUGACAUCCACACGUGUGACAUCCACACGCGUGACAUCAGCACACACGCACACAUUCAUCAUUCAGACAGGACUAGCACAAGCACCGCACGUAAUGACCACAGAGGGUCUUGGCAGGAACGGAAAACAAGCUGCCUCCAACCUCGUGCAGCCUCUUUUUCCUCCAGAUCAUCGUUAAGUCCUCCCAGGGCUGGUGUGCCCGAGAAGCAGGAGGGUUCCCGAGAGCAGCUUUUUACUCCCAGGAGUGGCAGGUUCCUGCCGCCUGACGGGCUGCUCGCGGAGGAGGCUGGAGCCAGCACAAAUGCCAUGUCUUGUCAAGAUCUUCACUAGAGUCUCUCCGGUUGUUUUUUUUCUCGAGAAAAAUAUUGGAAAAUUGGUGAAAAUAUUUACAUCGAUUUUAUCUCUUUAUCUUGGUUUGACUUUUUUAUUCUCCUUUAAGUUGAUUCAUUUUUAGUGAAGUGCAAAAUAAAUUCUCAUGUUUGAAGUUUUGGAAAAGUCUGCAGUCCCGGGGAGGUGAUGGGUUAAAUGCUGUUUGUUGACCGUGGACUGCAGAUGGCUCAGCUCUUACCUUGACAAGGACGGUGAGGACGGCAGAUAUGGGUGCCCGGCUGCUGUGCCUCCCUCCCCGCCUGGCUUCUGCCCGAUGCUGCUGCUGAGCCCCCACAUUGCCUCACCAGACCCCGUCCACCCAGACACUGGGAGCCCAUGGCCAAACUGGUGUGUGUUGCAUUAAAAAUAAAAG
rnacentral:lncRNA from 1 species